UACGGAGGGUGCGAGCGUUGUCCGGAAUCACUGGGCGUAAAGGGCGCGUAGGUGGCCCGUUAAGUGGCUGGUGAAAUCCCGCGGCUCAACUGCGGGGCUGCCGGUCAUACUGGCGAGCUAGAGCACGGUAGGGGCAGAUGGAAUUCCCGGUGUAGCGGUGGAAUGCGUAGAGAUCGGGAGGAACACCAGUGGCGAAGGCAGCUCGCUGGGACGGUACUGACACUGAGGCGCGAAAGCGUGGGGAGCGAACAGG
rnacentral:rRNA from 1 species